rnacentral:lncRNA from 1 species
GGAGGACGUUCCUGUCACUGGCUGCUUCUACCCUGAUUUCGUCCUCAGAGUAGCAGUCCCGAGGUUGAGUGUGACCCCAGAUCACCCCUCCCGUGGAGGUGCUUCUGCUGGGGAGGACCCGCAUGCUUGCUUGUGUUUACGCCUGGGGAAGCCCCUCUUGGCAAGAUGCUUGGAAGAGGCUCCAGAAGGCAGAGCUCAGAGGACGACUUGGUGUUUCAGAAGGAUUCACUUCAUGGUGUCAUCAAGAAAACACAGGAGUCAGAGAUGAAGCCUCCAGCCACAGGGAAGUUUGACCCACCUCGUGCUCCAAAACCCGUUUGGGCGACACAAGCAAAUAAAGUGUCGGCGUUUGCAUGAGCAGCCUCCCAGCACAGAAGAGGAUGCACGGGGAUCUGACGCUAAGAGACAAGCUCUCCCACACGCGGCCCAGAGAGCCAGCGCCGCUCCCAGAACGCCCUCCCAGCGGGCUGCCUCUCCUGCGUCUUCCUUGUCACUUCCUGAGCAGGUGGAGCCGGAGCACAGGCCUGUUACUACCUUUUGUGCUGAGCUCGGUGGAGGUGGGGUGGCGGCUGCUCCUCCAGGGCAGUGCCCCCCCAUGGACGCUGGAAGGGAGGUGGGGAGGGCUGGAGGAGAGUGGGAGCCCCUCCAAAGUGAGCCCAGCGCCCCAGGGGGACCAAGCUACUCAGAGAGGACAGCGGGGUUCAAGCCGACCACCACUCCUCCUAGCUGUGCGACUAUGGACAUGUCACCCCACCUCUCUGAGCCUCGCUCCCUGUACAGUGGGGCUGUUGACCACACUGGCAGCCCCCGAGGGUUUCUGGGAAGCGGGUGAAGUGUGGAGCAUGCAGUCAG